rnacentral:rRNA from 1 species
UACGGAGGGUGCAAGCGUUAUCCGGAUUCACUGGGUUUAAAGGGUGCGUAGGUGGUUUUGUAAGUCAGUGGUGAAAGCCCGGAGCUCAACUCCGGAACUGCCAUUGAUACUGCUUAACUUGAAUCAACUUGAGGUGGAUGGAAUAUUACAUGUACGCGGUGAAAUGCUUAGAUAUGUAAUAGAACACCGAUUGCGAAGGCAGUUUCACUAAGGUUGUAUUGACACUGAGGCACGAAGCGUGGGGAUCAAACAGG